rnacentral:rRNA from 1 species
CAUUUUGAAGGAAGUUUUCGGAUGGAAUUUGAAAUGACUGAGCGGCGGACGGGUGAGUAACGCGUGGGUAACCUGCCUCAUACAGGGGGAUAACAGUUAGAAAUGACUGCUAAUACCGCAUAAGCGCACAGUACCGCAUGGUACCGUGUGAAAAACUCCGGUGGUAUGAGAUGGACCCGCGUCUGAUUAGCCAGUUGGCGGGGUAACGGCCCACCAAAGCGACGAUCGGUAGCCGGACUGAGAGGUUGAACGGCCACAUUGGGACUGAGACACGGCCCAAACUCC